rnacentral:lncRNA from 1 species
AAGGUCAUCUCCUUCACCCCACCCUUCUGCUUCUUCUUCAACCAAAAUCACGACCUCUCACCUCACUGCACAAACCAGUCGCCCACCCACCAGCUGCUCGAACAACAACAACGAACUCCUCCAUACAACACCCUUUCUUCUCCCUCACAUCUCUUCAACAGAGGAACGACUCAGACUCCCCUGCACGCCAUCGAGAAACGACCAGCCCCAUCCUUCUCCAUAUCAUAACAGCAACCAAACUCACCUGAAUUCAAAUUAAAAAAAAAACGGAAAAACAGAGAGAGAGGGUGAACGGGCAGAAGCAGAGUGAGAAAUUUCGAUGACAAUAGCCAUCCCCUUCAGUUAUCACGUAAGAAUCGAGAUCUGUCGAGUUCUAGCCGCAGCUCCAUUUUUCUCGAAAAAGCGUCAUUUUAGUUGAGUCGAGGUUUUGGUCUGCGAUUCGGGUAUAGGCUUGAGGUCUUGUUGCUUGAUUCAAUUGUUAAAGGAAGAUUUCAUGUGUUUGAAAAUGGUUGUGGUACAGACAUGAGGUCCAUUUCUAUCUUCAAUAUUUUACCUAUUGGUUCUGUCGCAUAUGUGUUUGAAUGGUAGAUUCAUUUGAUUUCCAUGAUUAUUUGUGAUAUCUUUUGAUAUUUGGGUGAAAUUUGCUCGAGUUUUGUGGCCGGAUUUGUUAACUACGUGAAUGCGAAUGUCUUCUUUGUUGUGCGGGUGAUUUAAAGUAGGACAACUAGCAUUGUUCUUAUGUUACUAAUUCAACCAAAACGUGAUUUAGCUUGUAAUGAAAAUAUAUUGUUGGAUUGAUUAUUCAGUUGUUUUAAAAGUGUAAGGCUGUGGGUUUGGAGUGAAGUUUAAAGUGAUUCAUUUUUGAGUUUGGACUUAAUAUUAAGAGGAAAAAACUUGGUUUUCC